rnacentral:tRNA from 1 species
GAGCGCGUAGCUCAGCAGGUAGAGCAACUGACUUUUAAUCAGUAGGUCCACGGUUCGAACCCGUGCGCGCUCACCA